GGUGCCUUAGUAUAGUGGUUAGUACAGUUCGUUGUGGUCCUACUCCAUACAGUGCCAUGUUCCGAACAAACACGCGUUCGAUUCGCGUAGGCGCCA